CAAAGUCUUUACAGACAAAAUGGUGUCACAGUUUCUUUGAAACGGACCGUUUGAUGCUCAGUUUGUACAGCUUGUACAGCUACUUUGUAAACAGAAUAAAAUCAGAUCCAGAUAGCAACAAGAGGCGACACAGAAUUCACAAGGUCAUCUUAGAUGAGAAGAAACGCUUGGCGGCUGCUGUUGACGACUACAACAAGGAAACAAGCAACAAAGCAAAUCGUAUCCAGUGAUGCCCUCAUGCAGAGCGACGUUUGGCCCUGGCAGAGCACAAGUGAACCUGCUGCUGACCUCCGGACAAAGAGAAAGGUCUUUGAGAAGGUGAUGGCUGUGAGGCGCCUGAGAGAG